rnacentral:rRNA from 1 species
UACAGAGAUCUCAAGCGUUGUUCGGAAUUACUGGGCGUAAAGGGUGCGCAGGCCGCGCGGGCAGUCAAAUGUGUAAUUCAGGGGCUCAACCCCUGCACUGCGCUUGAUACUUCCGCGCUCGAACCUUGGAGAGGAGUCUGGAAUUCUCGGUGUAGCAGUGAAAUGCGUGGAUAUCGAGAAGAACACUUAGGGCGAAAGCAAGACUCUGGACAAGUGUUGACGCUCAUGCACGAAGGCUAGGGUAGCGAACGGG